UUAAUGUGUGGCAUGCAGGUAGUUAUCUGCACACACACUUUUCCUUACUGGAUGUUUCACGUGGUUUAAUAUAAUUAAAACACAGCUGCAUUUAUUGGUUUAACUCAAAUCCUAAUUUGAUAAUUGGAAAAUAUAUGCAUUAAGGAUUCAUUUUUAUUCCAGAUUAAUUUAGAAGUAACCGAAAGCAGUGUCAGAAUUGACCAGAUUGAUGAUUUUAGGGUGCUUGGUUACUUCUAUUGCAUUGUUUUUGUGUGAUUUCUUACACUUGUAUUUGUCAUCUUUUCCUGACUUAAUUAUGAUUAAGUGCUGAACUUUACAGAUGGCCAACUGCUGGUACUGCUGUAUUGAUCAGUUGGUUUUAUUAAUGUGUUAAAUUUUGUGGUUGCCACAGGAUCAUACUUUGUGAUAGAAGAGCUAAUAGCUGGAGAACUCUGCCAUGAAAGUCCCAAUCAGCCCAACCUUAGCAGGUAGAAGUGAAAAAACAGAAUUUGUAGAGAAAGAACACGGAAGUGAUGCCUGGAAGCAAAAGUAGAACUGGAUUGUUUUCUUGGAGCUCUUUGGCAUGGGGAAAGGAGCCCAACAUGCUCACAUCUCACUGAUUUGAACAGCAGCUGAAAAACUAAGGAGAAAAAUCAUCCCACUCUGGCCAUGGUCACAGCAAUGGGAGUUCAGCCCAAGGCAGCUGUGCCCUGCAGCUGCCCCUGAAGGUCAGCAGAGA